UCAAAGUUUUAUUCUGGCUUGAAUCCUCGAUAUUAGAUUAAAACACAUGUAAACAUUAGUGCGACAAUGUGGCGAGCGCCUCAAAGGGCUAUGCUCUGAUAUACUUGAAAUUACUCUAUAAUAGCUAAAUUCUCAGUGUUCAGUGCUAAUUAAUAUGAUCGAAAGUUCGAAUUGGUUAUUGUAAUAAAAAGUUAAUGACCGGUCAAAAUUUGUGCCAGCAGCCGCGGUUAGACUAAGGGUUAAAUUGAGAAAACGUUGGUUAAAAGUAAUUAAGCGUAAACUUUAAGAAACUGAUUGGUUUAUAUUAAUAAAAGGUGAAAUUAAGUUUUUAAUUAUUAAAUCAAUUAGUCAUAAUUAAACAGGAAUGUUGAAGUUACUAAGACAAAGAAAUAAACUAGGAUUAGAUACCCUAUUAUACCUUGUUUCAAACAAUACAACCCGGGUAAUAAACAGUUAUAGUCUUGAAACUCAAAGAAUUUGGCGGUAGCUUAGUCUACUUAGAGGAACCUGUCCUGUAAACGACAAACCACGAAAGAUCUUACCUUAUUUUGUAAAUAAUCAGCUUGUAUACCGUCAUUACUAGAUAACUUUAUUGAAACACUAGUUAUUAUAAUAAAACACUUUUAGGAUAUUAGAUCAAGGUGCAGCUAAUAAAAAGGUAGAGAUGGGUUACAAUAAAAAAAGUUAGAACGAAUUAAAGAAUUAAAAUUCUUUGUGAAGGAGGAUUUAAAUGUAAAAGCACUUUUAAUAAGUUGCUUUGAUUUUUAGCUCUAAGCUAUGUACACAUCGCCCGUCGCUCUCGUUAGUUAAAGCGAGAUAAGUCGUAACAUAGUAGGUGUACCGGAAGGUGUACCUAGAGAGCA
rnacentral:ncRNA from 1 species